rnacentral:tmRNA from 2 species
GGGGGCGAAAUAGGUUUCGACAGGAGGUAAAGCAAAUAGAGCUGCCUGCCGAGUUCUGUCAGUCUCUCGUAAAAAAGACUGACAAAAAAUAACUGCCAACACUGCAAAUCUUCUGGCUGCUUAAAAGCAGCCACUCACCCGAAGACCCUGCCCUCGGGUCUUUGGAGUGAGUCGGUAAGAGGGCUCUUUCAGUCAGGUUAGCCUUUUCCCUGACUGAAAGAUACCAAAAAGGCUGCGUUUCUUACACCCGGUCUGAAGGGGGGUAAGAAACUAAGACCAAAACUUCAGACUACGCAGGUAGAGGCUCUAUUUGCUUUCCUUCUGGACGCGGGGGCAGUACCCGCCGCCUCCACUA